rnacentral:sRNA from 1 species
AGUAAAAUUACAUGUUAAUACGUAGUAUUAAUGGCGAGACUCCUGAGGGAGCAGUGCCAGUCGAAGACAGGGGCCCCAACACAGAAGCUGACAUAUAGUCAGCUUACAACAAUGUGCCGGUUGGGGUGGCUGAGACGGCACCCUAGGAAGGGACCCGUCAUCAAAAAUUCUAUUUAUAGAAUUUUACAG